rfam:Trachymyrmex zeteki contig10182, whole genome shotgun sequence.
UCCUCCUGAAAGACAUGGGUAGUGAGAUGUUCUUACGCAAUCGCGUCUCACUAUCUUGUCUUUCAUGCGGCG